AUCUAGCUGAAGAGUACCAAAAUAGGACAAAACGUGCGUCCUGGAU
rnacentral:hammerhead_ribozyme from 1 species